rnacentral:rRNA from 1 species
CAGUCUCAGUUCGGAUUNAAGGCUGAAAUUCGCCUUCAUGAAGCCGGAAUUGCUAGUAAUCGCGAAUCAGAACGUCGCGGUGAGUACGUUCCCGGGUCUUGUACACACCGCCCGUCACACCAUGGGAGUCGGGAAUGCCCGAAGCCGGUGACCCAACCGAAAGGAAGGAGCCGUCGAAGGCAGGUCUGACAACUGGGGUGAAGUCGUAACAAGGUACC